UACGAAGGGAGCUAGCGUUGUUCGGAAUCACUGGGCGUAAAGCGCACGUAGGCGGACUUGUCAGUCAGGGGUGAAAUCCUGAGGCUCAACCUCAGAACUGCCUCCGAUACAGCAAGUCUCGAGUCCGGGAGAGGUGAGUGGAAUUCCUAGUGUAGAGGUGAAAUUCGUAGAUAUUAGGAAGAACACCAGUGGCGAAGGCGGCUCACUGGCCCGGUACUGACGCUGAGGUGCGAAAGCGUGGGGAGCAAACAGG
rnacentral:rRNA from 1 species